rnacentral:rRNA from 1 species
GACCUACCCCAAAGUGCGGGAUAACAGUCCGAAAGGAUUGCUAAUACCACAUGUGGUCUCCGGGUUUAGAAACCGGUGACUAAAGGAGCAAUUCGCUUUGGGAGGGACCUGCGUCCCAUCAGCUAGUUGGUGAGGUAAUGGCUCACCAAGGCGACGACGGGUAGGGGACCUGAGAGGGUGGCCCCCCACAAUGGAACUGAAACACGGUCCAUACACCUACGGGUGGCAGCAGUAGGGAAUAUUGGUCAAUGGGCGAAAGCCUGAACCAGCAAUGCCGCGUGUGCGAUGAAGGCCUUCGGGUCGUAAAGCACUUUUCUGGGAGAUGAGAAAGGACAGUAUCCCAGGAAUAAGUCUCGGCUAACUACGUGCCAGCAGCCGCGGUAAUACGUAGGAGGCGAGCGUUAUCCGGAUUCACUGGGCGUAAAGCGCGUGCAGGUGGCUUGGUAAGUUAGGCGUGAAAUCUCCCGGCUCAACUGGGAGAGGUCGUCUAAUACUACCGGGCUUGAGAGCAGAAGAGGAAGAUGGAAUUCCCGGUGUAGUGGUGAAAUGCGUAGAUAUCGGGAGGAACACCAGUGGCGAAGGCGAUCUUCUGGUCUGUUUCUGACACUCAGACGCGACAGCUAGGGUAGUAAACGGGAUUAGAGACCCCGGUAAUCCUAGCCGUAAACGAUGUAAACUUGGCGUUGGUGGGUUAAACUCCAUCAGUGCCGCAGCAAACGCGAUAAG